GCCGCUGUCGCCCAGUUGGUAGAGGCGUCGCCAGUACAGAUGGCCGAGGUCGCUGGUUCAAGUCUAGCCCGUGGUG